rnacentral:rRNA from 1 species
UGAGGAAUAUUGGACAAUGGGCGAAAGCCUGAUCCAGCCAUGCCGCGUGAGUGACGAAGGCCUUAGGGUUGUAAAGCUCUUUCAGAUGCGAAGAUAAUGACGGUAACAUCAGAAGAAGCUCCGGCUAAAUUCGUGCCAGCAGCCGCGGUAAUACGAAUGGAGCAAGCGUUGUUCGGAAUCACUGGGCGUAAAGCGUGCGUAGGCGGUUAUUUAAGUCAGAAGUGAAAUCCCGGGGCUCAACCUCGGAAUUGCUUUUGAAACUGGAUAGCUAGAGUCCCGGAGAGGUUAGCGGAAUUCCGAGUGUAGCAGUGAAAUGCGUAGAUAUUCGGAGGAACACCAAUGGCGUAGGCAGCUAACUGGACGGGUACUGACGCUGAGGUACGAAAGCGUGGGGAGCAAACAGG